rnacentral:rRNA from 1 species
UACUUGGUGUUACUGCGAAGGGGGGACGGAGAAGGCUAUGUUAGCCGGGCGACGGUUGUCCCGGUUUAAGCAUGUAGGCUGGUUAUCCAGGCAAAUCCGGAUAAUCAAGGCUGAGGUGUGAUGACGAAGCACUACGGUGCUGAAGUAACAAAUGCCCUGCUUCCAGGAAAAGCCUCUAAGCAUCAGGUAACAUCAAAUCGUACCCCAAACCGACACAGGUGGUCAGGUAGAGAAUACCAAGGCGCUUGAGAGAACUC